rnacentral:rRNA from 1 species
UACGAAGGGGGCUAGCGUUGCUCGGAAUUACUGGGCGUAAAGCGCGCGCAGGCGGUCUUCCAAGUCAGUGGUGAAAGCCCGGAGCUCAACUCCGGAACUGCCAUUGAAACUGUAAGACUUGAGGACGAGAGAGGUGAGUGGAAUUCCCAGUGUAGAGGUGAAAUUCGUAGAUAUUGGGAAGAACACCGGUGGCGAAGGCGGCUCACUGGCUCGUAUCUGACGCUCAGGCGCGACAGCGUGGGGAUCAAACAGG